rnacentral:piRNA from 1 species
UAGUUUCAGUCUACUGCCCUUGGA